GGCCAGUUAGCUCAGCUGGUUGAGCUUGGUACUGAUAACACCAAGGUCACGGGUUCGAUUCUCAUUCAGUCCG
rnacentral:tRNA from 1 species